rnacentral:rRNA from 1 species
UCAGGAUGAACGCUAGCGGCAGGCUUAAUACAUGCAAGUCGAACGGGAUUCAGGUAGCAAUACUUGAUGAGAGUGGCGCACGGGUGCGUAACACGUAUGCAACCUACCUUUAACUGGUGAAUAGCCUCGGGAAAUCGGGAUUAAUACACCAUAACAUUACAAGAGGGCAUCCUCUAAUAAUUAAAGAACUUCGGUUAAAAGAUGGGCAUGCGGGACAUUAGCUAGUUGGUGAGGUAACGGCUCACCAAGGCAACGAUGUCUAGGGGUCCUGAGAGGGUUAUCCCCCACACUGGUACUGAGACACGGACCAGACUCCUACGGGAGGCAGCAGUAAGGAAUAUUGGUCAAUGGGCGCAAGCCUGAACCAGCCAUGCCGCGUGAAGGAAGACGGCGCUAUGCGUUGUAAACUUCUUUUGUCAGGGAAUAAAUGUAGGUACGUGUACUUACUUGAAGGUACCUGAAGAAUAAGCAUCGGCUAACUCCGUGCCAGCCGCGGC